GGGGCGUCGGUUUGGUGAGGAUUCAGUCUUCCAAACUGAUGGUGCGAGUUCGAUUCUCGUCAUCCCCUCCA
rnacentral:tRNA from 1 species